ACCCUCAAAUACGCAACAUGAUGAUGCUGCAUGACCAGCCCCGCUACCACAGACAAACUGAGGGAACUGAAAUCUGAUCGAGAGCCUUUGAGUCCAACGAGGUACUAACUCCACUUCAAAUUCCUUCACGUCCAGCUGUCUCACAAGACAGAUAUAAGAAGUUCAGGGAAUCCCUUUCCUGCUUCAAGCUUCCUGGGGGAAUACAAAGUGUGCAUGGGGGAACUGCAUUACCUGUAUUGCCAGAAGACCAGAGGGCAAAGGCCAAGUCUCCAUGCACAUUUGUUAGAGGACAUCAACAUUUUGGUAGUGCUGUUGACCCUUGUCCAAGAAAACCGCCACUCAGCCACACAUGAUCCAGUCAGACCCAGCUCAGCAGUGUGUCUCUCACCAUUCCUAGCUCUGCACCCACUACACAGCCACCACCCAAGCCCAGUUGGGUUCCAGGCCUGUCUGCCUCCACCGGCCUUGCUCUGUCCAGGCCCUGUUCUUGACUCCAGGUCUGAACACCAAACAUGAUCCCUGCAGAGAGAAGCUUCACUGAAGAUGAUAACAGUUCCCAUGGGCCCAUUGGAGGCCUGAAGCUUCAAUUUCACCGGGCACGUGGAGUGCCCACCAGCUUAGGGUUGAUACAUAAUCAGAACAUAAGGCACCUUGCACACCAAGUCAUAUUCCCCACCCUUCCCUGCCAGGUCAAACCCUAGCCCAGUGCUUUCUGCCUAUAAAUACAUACACGAGCCUCUCUGGUCCCAAAUUGCACUCGAGUUUAGCUUCUCCUUUCUCUUUUCCUGACCUCAGCCUUGACUGUAGCCCAGAAGUCUCUGUUGGCCCAGAUAAGCUGAAUGACUAUUGCAGUUAUCAGGGGAAAAUGUCAACAGACACCCUAAGAGGCCCAGCCUCAAAUUCAGUUCAUCAGGUUGUCAGUUAAAAACCAAAUCCCAGCUCUGACCCUAAUCCAUGGUCUCUGCCAAGAGAUCUAACAUAACCAGCUGGCCUUUGCUUGAGUCAACCCGUCAGCUUUACCUGGUAACCUCUUUGAAAAGGACAACUAUAAGUUUGGCUCAUUGGCCCUUAUAAUUUUAAGCCUGCUCAUAUCCUAAAUAACCCUUUCUAGACCUGUAAAACAAACUCUCUAGAUACAAGGGAGUACAGUUCCUCAAGACAAUACACAAGUCUACACUCUUGCGGCUGCAACUCUGUUUCUCUGUGAGACAGACACACAGCAUAUCUUUGCUUCUUCCUCUAGGAGUUCAAAAUAUAAUAGGGUUGAUGCCACUUACAGUGAAAACAGUUCCCACAGCUCCUAUUGAGUGUUAGGGGUGCAUGGUUGGGGGCUAUAGGGGCCAAGCUUUCACGGAUGGAGAUACUCAGCGGUCUCAGGAACUUCAGAUUCAGGCACAGGUGCUUGACACCUCUCAAAAU
rnacentral:lncRNA from 1 species